ensembl:lncRNA
CUCAAAAUGUGUUCUAUUCAUAAUGAUAAGUUUUAUUUCAAAAGUUAAAAAUUAAUAUUUCAUGGUAAGGAUCUGUCUCAUAUAUAUAUUAACAGGUUUCAUUUUUAUAUUCAAAAAUGUUUUUGGUAAACUUUAUGGUAUAUUUCAUAUGUAAUUUCACAGUAUUUCUAACUGCGUAGUCAGCUGAGUCUGUUUUGCAUAUGAAGUUGAACUGCACGUAUUGUUCUUUUAAAUCAGUAUUUCUUAGAAUUAUCAGUAUGAUACUUUGAAUCUAAAAGAGGAAGAAGUCCAAAAUCGAGACAUUGACUAGACUAUUUUUAAAGGUUAGGUGUUAUUAGUGAUAGCCAGAUGACGACUUAUGUCUAGAACAACAGUAUAUAAGAUAGACUCUGCAAAAUAGAAUAGGGUUUGACUUUCUGAGACUCUGGUCUCUCUAUCUUUUCAGCUCACUUCCUCUUCUUUGGCUUCACUCGACAACUCCUCUUAGACUCAGACUUAGAACUCUUACAGUUAAUGGAGGCACCGCUGGGAUACUGAUCGAUCCUUGAAGUAUAUUUGAUGCAUCGCAAGGAAAGAUAAAGAGAGGAUUGAACCUUUGAAUGUUUUAGGUCCUAUACAUCCUCCAGUAUUCCAGUAUCCUCUUCGGAGAGAAACAGAGUGAGUUGCACAGGAAAUUGUGAACCAGCUUCAGGAAUCAGGGAUUUUGGUACGAGUGCAUGCUGUCACAGAAAUAUUCUGCGACUGGUUCUAAGGGUGACUCUUUGAUGUGACUUCUGCAACAGUGCAGCUCAUUGACAUUCUGGGAGUGGUUGCUGUGCUCAUGGCUGGACAUCAGUGUUUCAUUGCAUCAUCAUAACAUCACUCGUUAACUAAUUCUACGUCAUCUGAGAGACCUGUGCUAAAAUCUACCAGCUGAUAGAUAUAUAUAGAUUUACAAAUUCCUACAUUAAGAUGCCUUAAAAGAUUGUUGAUCAAAGAGAUUCUUAUUCUCCCAUUUAUACCAGUAGUGAUGAGGAAAUCUAUACCUUGCAGGUGAAGGGUAAGGAAAGGUAUGAGAUGUUGAAAACGAUCAACGAAAGUUUGGAAAUUAACGACAUGGUACCAUAAGGACAAAUAUCUUCAGCUACUAUCUCCUAAGGGCAAGAAGAGAAAGAACGAUGAUAGAGUUUAGAGUUGGGAAAGAUGGAAGGCUGUGGUAAGUCCUCAACCCAGCAAAAGUCCAGGGGACGCCAGGGGUCGAAUUUCCUUAGGAGUUCUCGUCUGGCCAUCUUGGUGAAGAUCUUUGUUAAUUUUAAGGUAGCUGGGGUUAGAGAGGUAUCUACAGUACUAUCUAUCUGAAAUUGUUUUAUUGAUUUUCUAUAUUUUCAUGUAUGCAUCAUUUAUUUUUCUUUUGAAUUACUCUGUAUUUUUGGUUUUGAUUUAAGGAAAAGGUUGUGGCGAGUCUUUUGAUAAGACUCGAGUGGGGGAUUGGUGUGUGGAGAUUCUAAGAAAUCCACAUGGUGAUAGAGAUUCUGAGAAGAAGUCCAUGUAUUUAAAUUAAACCCAAGUGUUGUUGAGAGAUUCUGAGAAGUCACGUACUCAAAAUGUGUUCUAUUCAUAAUGAUAAGUUUUAUUUCAAAAGUUAAAAAUUAAUAUUUCAUGGUAAGGAUCUGUCUCAUAUAUAUAUUAACAGGUUUCAUUUUUAUAUUCAAAAAUGUUUUUGGUAAACUUUAUGGUAUAUUUCAUAUGUAAUUUCACAGUAUUUCUAACUGCGUAGUCAGCUGAGUCUGUUUUGCAUAUGAAGUUGAACUGCACGUAUUGUUCUUUUAAAUCAAUAUUUCUUAGAAUUAUCAGUAUGAUACUUUGAAUCUAAAAGAGGAAGAAGUCCAAAAUCGAGACAUUGACUAGACUAUUUUUAAAGGUUAGGUGUUAUUAGUGAUAGCCAGAUGACGACUUAUGUCUAGAACAACAGUAUAUAAGAUAGACUCUGCAAAAUAGAAUAGGGUUUGACUUUCUGAGACUCUGGUCUCUCUAUCUUUUCAGCUCACUUCCUCUUCUUUGGCUUCACUCGACAACUCCUCUUAG